UUCCUGGAGAUGCUCUUUGGACUCCACCUUCUCAUCGCAAUGAUGAAAAUCUGAUUUGCAUGAUAUUGUACUCUCUACAUUGAAUUCAAGGAACAGUAAAGUUAUAUCCUUGCAGAAUGUUCUUGGUGAAUGACCCUUGCCUGGCUGUGCCAGUACCUCUGGCCAGGUGAAGAAGACUUCCUUUCAAAGCUGCAAGUUCCUGGGAUACCUUGGUGAUUCAGCAGAGCUUUUACCACUGAGGCUGCCAUGCUGUCAUGCGGGACCAUGCCCAAGUGAGACCAACUCCGUGGAAGCACCUGUGAUGGUUUCCAAAACACCUCCUCCCUUCUGGAAAAGAGAGAUUGCUCUAAGCAUGACCCCUCCUGCCUGCUGA
rnacentral:lncRNA from 1 species